rnacentral:ncRNA from 1 species
GAGUGCUCACGGGGUCAGUGCAAGUCUGAACCGGCGGUCAGAGUCCGCGAACCUCCCAUCCCGGGAGGCCGAGCAGGUGGAAUUCCUGCACCGACGGUGAGAGUCCGGAUGGAAGUGACACUC